UACAGAGGUCUCAAGCGUUUGUUCGGAUUCAUUGGGCGUAAAGGGUGUGUAGGUGGCGCGCUAAGUCGGGUGUGAAAUUUCGGAGCUUAACUCCGAAACUGCAUUCGAUACUGGCGUGCUUGAGGACUGGAGAGGAGACUGGAAUUCAUGGUGUAGCAGUGAAAUGCGUAGAGAUCAUGAGGAAGACCAGUGGCGAAGGCGGGUCGUCUGGACAGUUCCUGACGCUGAGGAGCGAAAGCGUGGGGAGCGAACAGG
rnacentral:rRNA from 1 species